AAAUAAUUGAAUUGAGCUUGAAAAUUGUCUCAAAAAACCUGAGAUUAGAGAAUGCUGCACUUCUGCAAUGUCCCGGGUAUCCUCUUCUAAUGAAAUAUCUGGGUUGGUUCCUGAGGAAGAAGUGCAGCUAUUGAUAGAGGAGCACAAUCUCCAGCUUGCCCAAUUGCAGGAAAUGCACGAGAAGCAGUUGUGGAACCUUCCAGAGUCACUAAGAUCACCUGCAGCAAACAGUCUUCAAACUUCCACGUCAGAUGAGCCAGAGAAGUUGCUGAGAUCAGAGAAUGUUCAAUUGACAACUGAGAGCCAGUGUAGUGGCACAGAGAUAAAGGAAAGAUUCAGUUGCUCAGCUCGAGAUUCCAGAUCAUCACUAGCCUGUCCAAACCCACCACAGAAAAGAUUUCUCUCUCAUUGUGCCCACAGUACUGCAAAAAAGCAACAGAAGAUGAGUGUGAGUGAGACCCUGCUGUUGAAGAGGAAACUUCCACAGGAUAUGAAAUCUGUUUCCCAGCACUGUUCAUGCCAAUGAAGACUGGACAAGUAUUUACUCCAAAGGCUCGCUUGUACUUUCAUCCAUCAGGAUCAGCAGGCUUCUUCCGUCUAACCCAGGCACCAUCAGUGAUCAGCCUCCCCACUCUGUGCAGCAGCACUAGGAUGUCUGUCCUGAAUCUCCUGAGCCCAAAAGUAACUUUACCAAUAACCCCAGCUAUUGGGAGUAACUACGCAUCCACAGAAAAUGAGAUGAUGGUCAACGAACUGGUAUCUGAUCCAGCCACCAUAAAUCAGGCAUGGGCAGGCCAGAGGAUUAAAUCAGACUUUCAUUAAAUCUGAUUUCCUUUCUCA